rnacentral:rRNA from 1 species
CAAUAGCGUAUAUUAAAGUUGUUGCAGUUAAAAAGCUCGUAGUUGGAUUUCUGGGCCUUGUUUGUGGUCCGCCGCAAGGUGAGCACUGCGGACGGGGUCCUUUCCUCCCGACGUCCACGUGUGCCCUUAGCUGGGUGUGCGUGGGACUCGGGACCUUUACUUUGAAAAAAUUAGAGUGUUCAAAGCAGGCGCUUGCUUGGAUACCUCAGCAUGGAAUAAUGGAAUAGGACUUUGGUUCUAUUUCGUUGGUUCUAGGACCGAAGUAAUGAUUAAUAGGGACAGUUGGGGGCAUUAGUAUUUAAUUGUCAGAGGUGAAAUUCUUAGAUUUAUGAAAGACUAACUACUGCGAAAGCAUUUGCCAAGGAUGUUUUCAUUAA